AAUGAACGCUGGCGGCGCGCCUAAUACAUGCAAGUCGAGCGAGAAGACGUAGCAAUACGUUUGUAAAGCGGCGAACGGGUGAGGAAUACAUGGGUAACCUACCCUCGAGUGGGGAAUAACUAGCCGAAAGGUUAGCUAACACCGCGUACGCUUCUUGGACUUCGGUUCAGGGAGGAAAGCGAUGCCGAGGGUAUCGCGCUCUUGGAUGGGCUCAUGUCCUAUCAGCUUGUUGGGAGGUAACGGCUCACCAAGGCUUCGACGGGUAGCUGGUCUGAGAGGACGAUCAGCCACACUGGCACUGCGACACGGGCCAGACUCCUAC
rnacentral:rRNA from 1 species